GCAUCAGUAAGCAUGUCGUCCUCAGAUGAGUCAGAGCCAAGGGGAUGUCUGUCGAGUAAUCAUGUUCAGACCUGAGCCCUAGGACCAUGCCUCAGGACUACCUGGCAUGAUGACUCCUUGCUGUCCCCAGUCCACCUGGUUGUGCUGCUGCUCCAGUUUCAACUGCUCUGCCUGUGGCUAUGGAAUCCUGACCUGUUCACCGGACGUGCUACCUGUCCCAGACCUGCUGUUUUUAACUCUCUAGAGACAGCAGGAGCGGUAGAGAUACUCGGAAUAAUCAGCUAUGAAAAGCCAACUGACAUUUACACCUGAGGUGCUGACCUGUUGCACCCUCGACAACUACUGUGAUUAUUAUUUGACCAUGCUGGUCAUUUAUGAACAUUUUAACAUCUUGGCUAUGUUCUGUUAUAAUCUCCACCCAGCACAGCCAGAAGAGGACUGGCCACCCCUCAUAGCCUGGUUCCUCGUUAGGUUUCUUCCUAGGUUUUGGCCUUUCUAGGGAGUUUUUCCUAGCCCCCAUGCUUCCUGCAUUGCUUGCUGUUUGGCGUUUUAGGCUGAGUUUCUGUACAGCACUUUGAGAUAUCAGCUGAUGUAAGAAGGGCUAUAUAAAUACAUUUGAUUUGUUUAA